rnacentral:rRNA from 1 species
UGGGGGAUAUUGCACAAUGGGCGAAAGCCUGAUGCAGCGACGCCGCGUGGGGGAUGAAGGCCUUCGGGUUGUAAACUUCUUUUGCUCUGAACAAGGCAUGCCUUUGGGGUGUGUUGAGUGUAGGGGUUGAUUAGCGCCGGCUAACUACGUGCCAGCAGCCGCGGUAAUACGUAGGGCGCGAGCGUUGUCCGGAAUUAUUGGGCGUAAAGGGCUUGUAGGUGGCUGGUUGCGUCUGUCGUGAAAGCUCAUGGCUUAACUGUGGGUUUGCGGUGGGUACGGGCUGGCUUGAGUGCAGUAGGGGGGGCUGGAAUUCCUGGUGUAGAGGUGGAAUGCGCAGAUAUCAGGAGGAAUACCGGUGGAGAAGGCGGGUCUCUGGGCUGUUACUGACGCUGAGGAGCGAAAGCGUGGGGAGCGAACAGG